rnacentral:rRNA from 1 species
UGGGGAAUAUUGCACAAUGGGCGCAAGCCUGAUGCAGCCAUGCCGCGUGUGUGAAGAAGGCCUUCGGGUUGUAAAGCACUUUCAGCGGGGAGGAAGGCGUUAAGGUUAAUAACCUUGGCGAUUGACGUUACCCGCAGAAGAAGCACCGGCUAACUCCGUGCCAGCAGCCGCGGUAAUACGGAGGGUGCAAGCGUUAAUCGGAAUUACUGGGCGUAAAGCGCACGCAGGCGGUUUGUUAAGUCAGAUGUGAAAUCCUCGGGCUCAACCUGGGAACUGCAUCUGGUACUGGCAAGCGUGAGUCUCGUAGAGGGGGGUAGAAUUCCAGGUGUAGCGGUGAAAUGCGUAGAGAUCUGGAGGAAUACCGGUGGCGAAGGCGGCCCCCUGGACGAAGACUGACGCUCAGGUGCGAAAGCGUGGGGAGCAAACAAG